rnacentral:snRNA from 1 species
GUGCUUGCUUCAGCGGCACACGUACUAAAAUUGGAAACAAUACAGAGAUUAGCAUGGCCCCUGCACAAGGAUGAUACACAAAUUCGUGAAGCGUUCAGCAUUUUA